UACGUAGGGUGCGAGCGUUAAUCGGAAUUACUGGGCGUAAAGCGUGCGUAGGCGGUUCGUUGUGUCUGUGGGGAAAGCCCCGGGCUUAACCUGGGAAUGGCCAUGGAAACUGGCGAGCUGGAGUGUGGCAGAGGGGGGUGGAAUUCCACGUGUAGCAGUGAAAUGCGUAGAGAUGUGGAGGAACACCGAUGGCGAAGGCAGCCCCCUGGGCUAACACUGACGCUCAUGCACGAAAGCGUGGGGAGCAAACAGG
rnacentral:rRNA from 1 species